rnacentral:rRNA from 1 species
UAGGGAAUCUUCGGCAAUGGACGAAAGUCUGACCGAGCAACGCCGCGUGAGUGAAGAAGGUUUUCGGAUCGUAAAACUCUGUUGGUAGAGAAGAACGUUGGUGAGAGUGGAAAGCUCACCAAGUGACGGUAACUACCCAGAAAGGGACGGCUAACUACGUGCCAG